rnacentral:rRNA from 1 species
AUUGAACGCUGGCGGCAGGCUUAACACAUGCAAGUCGAGCGGGGUGAUGGUGCUUGCACUAUCACUUAGCGGCGGACGGGUGAGUAAUGCUUAGGAAUCUGCCUAUUAGUGGGGGACAACAUCUCGAAAGGGAUGCUAAUACCGCAUACGUCCUACGGGAGAAAGCAGGGGAUCACUUGUGACCUUGCGCUAAUAGAUGAGCCUAAGUCGGAUUAGCUAGUUGGUGGGGUAAAGGCCUACCAAGGCGACGAUCUGUAGCGGGUCUGAGAGGAUGAUCCGCCACACUGGGACUGGGACACGGCCCAGACUCCUACGGGAGGCAGCAGUUGGGAAUAUUGGACAAUGGGGGGAACCCUGAUCCAGCCAUGCCGCGUGUGUGAAGAAGGCCUUAUGGUUGUAAAGCACUUUAAGCGAGGAGGAGGUUCUUUUGGUUAAUACCCAAGAUGAGUGGACGUUACUCGCAGAAUAAGCACCGGCUAACUCUGUGCCAGCAGCCGCCGUAA